rnacentral:tRNA from 1 species
GCCGACGUAGCUCAAUGGAUAGAGCAAGCGCGUCCUAAGCGUUAGGCUGGGGGUUCGAGUCCCUUCGUCGGCGCUA